AACGCGAAAACCUUAACCCACCUUUGACAUGUCCGGAAUCCCGAAGAGAUUUGGAGGUGCUCGCAAGAGAGCCGGAACACAGGUGCUGCAUGGCUGUCGUCAGCUCGUGUCGUGAGAUGUUGGGUUAAGUCCCGCAACGAGCGCAACCCUUGUCAUUAGUUGCCAUCAUUUGGUUGGGCACUCUAAUGAGACUGCCGGUGACAAACCGGAGGAAGGUGGGGAUGACGUCAAGUCCUCAUGGCCCUUAUGGGUAGGGCUUCACACGUCAUACAAUGGUCGGUACAGAGGGUUGCCAACCCGCGAGGGGGAGCUAAUCCCACAAAGCCGAUCGUAGUCCGGAUCGCAGUCUGCAACUCGACUGCGUGAAGUCGGAAUCGCUAGUAAUCGUGGAUCAGCAUGUCACGGUGAAUACGUUCCCGGGUCUU
rnacentral:rRNA from 1 species